AGCGUACACGGUGGAUGCCCUGGCAGUCAGAGGCGAUGAAGGACGUGCUAAUCUGCGAUAAGCGUCGGUAAGGUGAUAUGAACCGUUAUAACCGGCGAUUUCCGAAUGGGGAAACCCAGUGUGAUUCGUCACACUAUCAUUAACUGAAUCCAUAGGUUAAUGAGGCGAACCGGGGGAACUGAAACAUCUAAGUACCCCGAGGAAAAGAAAUCAACCGAGAUUCCCCCAGUAGCGGCGAGCGAACGGGGAGGAGCCCAGAGCCUGAAUCAGUGUGUGUGUUAGUGGAAGCGUCUGGAAAGGCGCGCGAUACAGGGUGACAGCCCCGUACACAAAAAUGCACAUAUUGUGAGCUCGAUGAGUAGGGCGGGACACGUGGUAUCCUGUCUGAAUAUGGGGGGACCAUCCUCCAAGGCUAAAUACUCCUGACUGACCGAUAGUGAACCAGUACCGUGAGGGAAAGGCGAAAAGAACCCCGGCGAGGGGAGUGAAAAAGAACCUGAAACCGUGUACGUACAAGCAGUGGGAGCACGCUUAGGCGUGUGACUGCGUACCUUUUGUAUAAUGGGUCAGCGACUUAUAUUCUGUAGCAAGGUUAACCGAAUAGGGGAGCCGAAGGGAAACCGAGUCUUAACUGGGCGUUAAGUUGCAGGGUAUAGACCCGAAACCCGGUGAUCUAGCCAUGGGCAGGUUGAAGGUUGGGUAACACUAACUGGAGGACCGAACCGACUAAUGUUGAAAAAUUAGCGGAUGACUUGUGGCUGGGGGUGAAAGGCCAAUCAAACCGGGAGAUAGCUGGUUCUCCCCGAAAGCUAUUUAGGUAGCGCCUCGUGAAUUCAUCUCCGGGGGUAGAGCACUGUUUCGGCAAGGGGGUCAUCCCGACUUACCAACCCGAUGCAAACUGCGAAUACCGGAGAAUGUUAUCACGGGAGACACACGGCGGGUGCUAACGUCCGUCGUGAAGAGGGAAACAACCCAGACCGCCAGCUAAGGUCCCAAAGUCAUGGUUAAGUGGGAAACGAUGUGGGAAGGCCCAGACAGCCAGGAUGUUGGCUUAGAAGCAGCCAUCAUUUAAAGAAAGCGUAAUAGCUCACUGGUCGAGUCGGCCUGCGCGGAAGAUGUAACGGGGCUAAACCAUGCACCGAAGCUGCGGCAGCGACGCUGAUGCGUUGUUGGGUAGGGGAGCGUUCUGUAAGCCUGCGAAGGUGUGCUGUGAGGCAUGCUGGAGGUAUCAGAAGUGCGAAUGCUGACAUAAGUAACGAUAAAGCGGGUGAAAAGCCCGCUCGCCGGAAGACCAAGGGUUCCUGUCCAACGUUAAUCGGGGCAGGGUGAGUCGACCCCUAAGGCGAGGCCGAAAGGCGUAGUCGAUGGGAAACAGGUUAAUAUUCCUGUACUUGGUGUUACUGCGAAGGGGGGACGGAGAAGGCUAUGUUGGCCGGGCGACGGUUGUCCCGGUUUAAGCGUGUAGGCUGGUUUUCCAGGCAAAUCCGGAAAAUCAAGGCUGAGGCGUGAUGACGAGGCACUACGGUGCUGAAGCAACAAAUGCCCUGCUUCCAGGAAAAGCCUCUAAGCAUCAGGUAACAUCAAAUCGUACCCCAAACCGACACAGGUGGUCAGGUAGAGAAUACCAAGGCGCUUGAGAGAACUCGGGUGAAGGAACUAGGCAAAAUGGUGCCGUAACUUCGGGAGAAGGCACGCUGAUAUGUAGGUGAGGUCCCUCGCGGAUGGAGCUGAAAUCAGUCGAAGAUACCAGCUGGCUGCAACUGUUUAUUAAAAACACAGCACUGUGCAAACACGAAAGUGGACGUAUACGGUGUGACGCCUGCCCGGUGCCGGAAGGUUAAUUGAUGGGGUUAGCGCAAGCGAAGCUCUUGAUCGAAGCCCCGGUAAACGGCGGCCGUAACUAUAACGGUCCUAAGGUAGCGAAAUUCCUUGUCGGGUAAGUUCCGACCUGCACGAAUGGCGUAAUGAUGGCCAGGCUGUCUCCACCCGAGACUCAGUGAAAUUGAACUCGCUGUGAAGAUGCAGUGUACCCGCGGCAAGACGGAAAGACCCCGUGAACCUUUACUAUAGCUUGACACUGAACAUUGAGCCUUGAUGUGUAGGAUAGGUGGGAGGCUUGGAAGUGUGGACGCCAGUCUGCAUGGAGCCGACCUUGAAAUACCACCCUUUAAUGUUUGAUGUUCUAACGUUGACCCGUAAUCCGGGUUGCGGACAGUGUCUGGUGGGUAGUUUGACUGGGGCGGUCUCCUCCUAAAGAGUAACGGAGGAGCACGAAGGUUGGCUAAUCCUGGUCGGACAUCAGGAGGUUAGUGCAAUGGCAUAAGCCAGCUUGACUGCGAGCGUGACGGCGCGAGCAGGUGCGAAAGCAGGUCAUAGUGAUCCGGUGGUUCUGAAUGGAAGGGCCAUCGCUCAACGGAUAAAAGGUACUCCGGGGAUAACAGGCUGAUACCGCCCAAGAGUUCAUAUCGACGGCGGUGUUUGGCACCUCGAUGUCGGCUCAUCACAUCCUGGGGCUGAAGUAGGUCCCAAGGGUAUGGCUGUUCGCCAUUUAAAGUGGUACGCGAGCUGGGUUUAGAACGUCGUGAGACAGUUCGGUCCCUAUCUGCCGUGGGCGCUGGAGAACUGAGGGGGGCUGCUCCUAGUACGAGAGGACCGGAGUGGACGCAUCACUGGUGUUCGGGUUGUCAUGCCAAUGGCACUGCCCGGUAGCUAAAUGCGGAAGAGAUAAGUGCUGAAAGCAUCUAAGCACGAAACUUGCCCCGAGAUGAGUUCUCCCUGACUCCUUGA
rnacentral:rRNA from 1 species